rnacentral:tRNA from 1 species
GGGCGGUUAGCUCAGCUGGUAGAGCGCCUGCCUUACAAGCAGGAGGUCGGCUGUUCGAGUCAGCCACCGCCCA